UACGAACAGAAAAUUUCUCGACGACAGUCAAUCAUUUCGGUGACAAUCUAUCAACAUGGCCAGAAAAUCUCUAACAAUUAUCGCCUUUCUGCUGUGUGCAAUUCUAGCUCACACUGAAACGGUACAAGACGACGAAGACUUUAAUAAUGAAGUAGAUGGUGUAAUAGCUGAAAAAAAUGAAAUUUAUGAGGCAACAGGAAGCGAUGAAGAGAAUGAU